CAGCCGCCACGGUAAUACGUAGGUGGCAAGCGUUGUCCGGAAUUAUUGGGCGUAAAGCGCGCGCAGGUGGCUUAAUAAGUCUGAUGUGAAAGCCCACGGCUCAACCGUGGAGGGUCAUUGGAAACUGUUAAACUUGAGUGCAGGAGAGAAAAGUGGAAUUCCUAGUGUAGCGGUGAAAUGCGUAGAGAUUAGGAGGAACACCAGUGGCGAAGGCGGCUUUUUGGCCUGUAACUGACACUGAGGCGCGAAAGCGAGGGGAGCAAACAGGAUUAGAUACCCGCGUAGUCCCUGUCUCUUAUAC
rnacentral:rRNA from 1 species